rnacentral:rRNA from 1 species
AGAGUUUGAUCAUGGCUCAGGAUGAACGCUGGCGGCGUGCUUAACACAUGCAAGUCGAACGAACCUUCGGGUUAGUGGCGGACGGGUGAGUAACGCGUGAGAAUCUGCCCUCAGGAGGGGGAUAACGGUUGGAAACGACCGCUAAUACCCCAUAUGCCUACUGGUGAAAUGAAUUUCGCCUGAGGAUGAGCUCGCGUCUGAUUAGCUAGUUGGUGAGGUAAUGGCUCACCAAGGCUUCGAUCAGUAGCUGGUCUGAGAGGAUGAUCAGCCACACUGGGACUGAGACACGGCCCAGACUCCUACGGGAGGCAGCAGUGGGGAAUUUUCCGCAAUGGGCGAAAGCCUGACGGAGCAACGCCGCGUGAGGGACGAAGGCCUCUGGGCUGUAAACCUCUUUUCUCAAGGAAGAAGAUAUGACGGUACUUGAGGAAUAAGCCACGGCUAGUUCCGUGCCAGCCGCCGCGGUAAUAC